rnacentral:pre_miRNA from 1 species
AGUGGAAUUGCUGGGCCAUUUGGUAGCUCUAUACUUAACUUUUUGAGGAACUGCCAAGCUGUUUUCCAAAGUGGCUACACCGUUUUACGUUUCCACCAGCAAU